rnacentral:rRNA from 1 species
GACGGAGGGGGCAAGCGUUAUCCGGAUUCACUGGGUUUAAAGGGUGCGUAGGUGGGCAAGUAAGUCAGUGGUGAAAUCUCCGGGCUUAACCCGGAAACUGCCAUUGAUACUAUUUGUCUUGAAUACUGUGGAGGUCAGCGGAAUAUGUCAUGUAGCGGUGAAAUGCUUAGAUAUGACAUAGAACACCAAUUGCGAAGGCAGCUGGCUACACAAAUAUUGACACUGAGGCACGAAAGCGUGGGGAUCAAACAGG